rnacentral:rRNA from 1 species
CCUACGGGGGGCUGCAGUGGGGAAUAUUGGACAAUGGGGGGAACCCUGAUCCAGCCAUGCCGCGUGUGUGAAGAAGGCCCUCGGGUUGUAAAGCACUUUCAGUGAGGAAGAACGCCUGGUGGUUAAUACCCAUCAGGAAAGACAUCACUCACAGAAGAAGCACCGGCUAACUCCGUGCCAGCAGCCGCGGGAAUACGGAGGGUGCGAGCGUUAAUCGGAAUUACUGGGCGUAAAGCGCGCGUAGGUGGCUUGAUAAGCCGGUUGUGAAAGCCCCGGGCUCAACCUGGGAACGGCAUCCGGAACUGGCAAGCUCGAGUGCAGGAGGGGAAGGUAGAAUUCCCGGUGUAGCGGUGAAAUGCGUAGAGAUCGGGAGGAAUACCAGUGGCGAAGGCGGCCUUCUGGACUGACACUGACACUGAGGUGCGAAAGCGUGGGUAGCAAACAGGAUUAGAUACCCCAGUAGUC